rnacentral:rRNA from 1 species
AGAUAGUGGCGCACGGGUGCGUAACGCGUAACCAACCUACCCGAAUCUGGGGGAUAGCCCGCCGAAAGGCGGAUUAAUACCGCAUAAAACUGCAGGACGGCAUCGUUUAACAGUUAAAGAUUUAUUGGAUUCGGAUGGGGUUGCGUGCCAUUAGCUAGUUGGGGGGUAACGGCCCACCAAGGCGACGAUGGCUAGGGGAGCUGAGAGGCUGGUCCCCCACACGGGCACUGAGAUACGGGCCCG